UUGGCUUUGGCUUCGCGCCAGUGCAUUGUGUAAUCAAUAUUAAUCAAGAGUAUUUCUCUGUAUUUUCACCAAAUACUGACUUAAAUUGAUUUUCUUUUGCAGAGUUCUCUACAUUUGGCCCAACAGCUCAAAUGGAAACUAGAGCACAAGAUCAGAAUGAAGUGAAGAACCCAAGGUCCAGCCUUUCCCACUCAAGACAUGCCUGAGACAAGAGUGACUGUAUUCCAAGUUGAACAAUGCACGGGAGGCCUGUGAAUUUGGGCAGUGUGAUUUGGAACUGUAUAGUACAUAAUAAGACUCUAUUGAGCUCUUAUAACCUUAUUAAAUAGCUAACAUAGAAAGCAUUUGUGAAAAUUAAGUAACAUGAAAAAAUGAAUGUGACAUGUCUUUAAUGGUGAUUGCAAGCCCUUAAAAAGUCUUAAAUUGUGUUAAAUGUAUUUUUGUUCAUAAAAUUGUCUAAUACAUCAUGACAGUUGAAUAUAUCAUGGUGUAUUUAUCUGUGGUUACAAUGCGUUUGUAUUUGAAUGUUAAAAACCCGCAAAGUGUCCUUUUCUUGGACCAAAAUAAACAUUUGGACAAAUGUCCAAAACAAUGUUGUUGUUUUAGAUAAUUGUAAAAAUGCCAAGUAGCUAGGAGUACAACUUGCCUGUGCUUACUUGUGUGGCAAACUGUCUUAAAUGUUAUUCUAAGAUGUUAUUCUAAAAUGUAAUGUAAUGUAAUGUAAUGUCUAAGAAGCAUUUAAAAUGUAUAAAAAGCCUUAAAUUUAACUUGCUAAUGCCUGCAGACAUUCUACUUUAAUAUGUGGGUGAUCCUAACGUAAAUGUAUUUCACCGCUUGAAAAAGACAAAAAUACUCAACACUGUUAAUGUUGAAAUCACUGGUCUAUGGUUAUUACUGUUCUGAAACUACCCUUCACCCUUUUUAUGUUUUUGUAUCGAGUUUUGUAUGUUUGUCUCAUCUUCUGUACCAUAAUUAUGCUUGCAUAUAUUGCUUACCUAGAAAUGUAACUUGAACCUGAUCUCAAUGGUAUUCUAUACAAUGACAAUAAAGGCUUUCUAUUCUA